UACAGGGGGUGCAAACGUUGCUCGGAAUCAUUGGGCGUAAAGCGCACGUAGGCGGGUCGUUAUGUCGGAUGUGAAAGCCCUUGGCUUAACCGAGGAAGUGCAUCCGAAACUGGCGAGCUAGAGUACGAAAGAGGAUCGCGGAAUUCCCGGUGUAGAGGUGAAAUUCGUAGAUAUCGAGAAGAACACCGGUGGCGAAGGCGGCCAACUGGACGGUGACUGACACUGAGACGCGAAAGCGUGGGGAGCGAACAGG
rnacentral:rRNA from 1 species